ACUCAAUUUCAUCGAAAAUGUUUAAGCUAAAUUUAUUUUUGAUCGUAACUGUGGCAGUGGCUUUGAUUGUCACUAAAGCUAGCGCUCAGGAUGACGGAAAAGAUUGUCUUGGCAACAUGGAGGAUUGCAACGAGGACAGCGAAUGUUGCAUGGGACAUUGUCAAGAUUGGGUGGUUAAAAAAUCAUGCUAUGAACCACCUAAACCUUCUGGAUCUCAAGAAUCAGAUGACUCUGACGAAUAGGGUCCUGUAUUCGGGUGAUGUCAAUAAUGUCAUAUAAAAAAAAAUAUUUUGACCAAGUGACCAAUGAAAAAUUGCCGUCUGUUUAUUAAACUAUUGACAUCCAUAUUUUUUUUUUAAAUAUUAAAAUUAAAAAAAAAAUUCGUUCGAUUUUGUUCCAUUUGUUCCAUGUUAUUUGAUAUAUAUUUAGAAUGAUUAUUAAAUAAAUAAUGUUGAUAUCUA